rnacentral:rRNA from 1 species
AGUGAACGCUGGCGGCGUGCCUAAUACAUGCAAGUCGAACGGAGUGGCGCACGGGUGGGUAAUGUAUAGAUAAUCUGCCCUACACUAGAGGACAACAGUUGGAAACGGCUGCUACUACUCUAUAGUGUAGGAUGAGGCUAUAUUGUAUCAGCUAGUUGGUGAGGUAAUGGCUCACCAAGGCUAUGACGCAUAACUGGUCUGAGAGGAUGCUCAGUCAAACUUGAAGUGAGACACGGUUCGGGCUCCUACGGGAGGGAGCAGUAGGGUAUAGUGCUCAAUGGGGGAAACCCUGAAGCAGCAUCGCGGCGUGGAGGAUGACAAUUUUCGGAGAGUAAACUCCUUUUGUUAGGGACGCGGUACCUAACGAAUAAGCACCGGCUAACUCCGUGCCAGCAGCCGCGGUAAUUC